rnacentral:rRNA from 1 species
GAUGAACGCUGGCGGCGUGCUUAACACAUGCAAGUCGAACGGGAAACCUUUUAUUGAAGCUUCGGCAGAUUUAGCUGGUUUCUAGUGGCGGACGGGUGAGUAACGCGUGGGUAACCUGCCUUAUACAGGGGGAUAACAGUCAGAAAUGGCUGCUAAUACCACAUAAGCGCACAGAGCUGCAUGGCUCAGUGUGAAAAACUCCGGUGGUAUAAGAUGGACCCGCGUUGGAUUAGCUGGUUGGUGGGGUAACGGCCCACCAAGGCGACGAUCCAUAGCCGGCCUGAGAGGGUGAACGGACACAUUGGGACUGAGACACGGCCCAGACUCCUACGGGAGGCAGCAGUGGGGAAUAUUGCACAAUGGGGGAAACCCUGAUGCAGCGACGCCGCGUGAAGGAAGAAGUAUCUCGGUAUGUAAACUUCUAUCAGCAGGGAAGAUAAUGACGGUACCUGACUAAGAAGCCCCGGCUAACUACGUG